rnacentral:rRNA from 1 species
AUUGAACGCUGGCGGCAGGCUUAACACAUGCAAGUCGAGCGGGGGAGGUCGCUUCGGUAACUGACCUAGCGGCGGACGGGUGAGUAAUGCUUAGGAAUCUGCCUAUUAGUGGGGGACAACAUUCCGAAAGGGAUGCUAAUACCGCAUACGCCCUACGGGGGAAAGCAGGGGAUCUUCGGACCUUGCGCUAAUAGAUGAGCCUAAGUCGGAUUAGCUAGUUGGUGGGGUAAAGGCCUACCAAGGCGACGAUCUGUAGCGGGUCUGAGAGGAUGAUCCGCCACACUGGGACUGAGACACGGCCCAGACUCCUACGGGAGGCAGCAGUGGGGAAUAUUGGACAACGGGCGGAAGCCUGAUCCAGCCAUGCCGCGUGUGUGAAGAAGGCCUUUUGGUUGUAAAGCACUUUAAGCGAGGAGGAGGCUACUAGUACUAAUACUACUGGAUAGUGGACGUUACUCGCAGAAUAAGCACCGGCUAACUCUGUGCCAGCCGCCGCCGUAAUAC